rnacentral:rRNA from 1 species
GACGAACGCUGGCGGCGCGCCUAACACAUGCAAGUCGAACGAGCGAGAGAGAGCUUGCUUUCUCAAGCGAGUGGCGAACGGGUGAGUAACGCGUGAGGAACCUGCCUCAAAGAGGGGGACAACAGUUGGAAACGACUGCUAAUACCGCAUAAGCCCACAGGUCGGCAUCGACCAGAGGGAAAAGGAGCAAUCCGCUUUGAGAUGGCCUCGCGUCCGAUUAGCUGGUUGGUGAGGUAACGGCCCACCAAGGCGACGAUCGGUAGCCGGACUGAGAGGUUGAACGGCCACAUUGGGACUGAGACACGGCCCAGACUCCUACGGGAGGCAGCAGUGGGGAAUAUUGCACAAUGGGGGAAACCCUGAUGCAGCGACGCCGCGUGGAGGAAGAAGGUCUUCGGAUUGUAAACUCCUGUUGUUGAGGAAGAUAAUGACGGUACUCAACAAGGAAGUGACGGCUAACUACGUGCCAGCAGCCGCGGUAAAACGUAGGUCACAAGCGUUGUCCGGAAUUACUGGGUGUAAAGGGAGCGCAGGCGGGAAGACAAGUUGGAAGUGAAAUCUAUGGGCUCAACCCAUAAACUGCUUUCAAAACUGUUUUUCUUGAGUAGUGCAGAGGUAGGCGGAAUUCCCGGUGUAGCGGUGGAAUGCGUAGAUAUCGGGAGGAACACCAGUGGCGAAGGCGGCCUACUGGGCACCAACUGACGCUGAGGCUCGAAAGUGUGGGUAGCAAACAGG